AUAUCUCUCCGUACGGGAAGGAUGAGAAGCUUCGACUAAGGUUCGAUUCGAGCGCAGCGAGAAAGCGUUGCCGCAGGCAACGACC
rnacentral:sRNA from 3 species